AGACAGACAUUCUGCAAGUCAGAACGUGAUGUCAGGCAGAGGGUGCUGCAAUGUCAUCAGAGCAAGGGGCAGGCACCGCAUCGGUCAGGGAACGCCCUCACUUGGGACCCAGGCACGGCCUUGCUGAUGAGGUGACAGUCAUGCUACAGCUGCCCUGAGGAUGACCAGGAGGAAGCUUGUCCAGGGCCCCUCAACACAAGACCUACACAUAAAUGUUCCAUGAGGGCGGGGUGUGUUAUCUUGGUCUCUGUUGAGUCCCCAGUGCCCAGAACAACGCCUGGACAAAGGCACAUGGAUAUGGAGUGAACGAGAGUUUGUAGGCAGAGAGCGCCGCGGGCUCCCUCCUUAGUCAUCACCACCCUUCAAGGUAAGUCAUCUUAUCCCCACUUCACAGAUCAGAAGACUGAGGUCCCAGGGGCUGAGUAUCACGAAGCUCGAAGCAGGAGAACCUAGUCUCCUUGACACUGAAAUGGCCACCCUGCACAAAUGCAGAGAGCCCCAUGUCACCCUUUGAUGGCACCAGCACAACAGGGAACUUUGUCCUCCACGAAGGUGGGAAGUUCAACUCCUGGCAAGCCUCCGCAGCUUUCAAAAAAGAAUAAAGGGGGAUCAAAUCAAACUAGAAGUUGGAAACUCAGGUCGGCCCUCCUGGCUCCAAGUCCCUGGCGAGGCCGCAGCCGCUGUCUGUGCCCGAGCCGGGAGCGGGGCAGAGAGCGGCAGGCCGCGGGGUCUGGGGGCUUGCUGGCAGCCGGCCGGCUGCGGGCUCGCCUGACUUAGUUAGAAUGCAGCCGUUAGAUCGCUGCAUCCUCUCUGAUGGCUGCGAGUGAUUGACACUUACAAAUUACCCAGCCGAAAGUGUCGAGUCUUUGACCCCUGAGUAACAUCUUUGGCAAGCCUGAGAUUUUCCAGCAUUUUGUCAUCUAAUUACUACAAAUCCCUUGAAAAUUCACUGGCUGGUGAAUUUUUAAUGCGGGGCAAUUUCAAUGUGAUGCAUGGUCCAGAUGGGUUCUUGCGUUUCUCACCUCUCUCUCUCUCUCUCUUUCUCCUCUUCUCUCCCUCUCGUUCUGUCUCCAUUCCUCUUUGCUUAACUUUUUUAUUUCCUAACCUCCCAAACUUUUGAAUGAGCCAGUAGUAACAGGAGCCCCACCCGAGCAUUUGGGUAGAGUGGUUGCAGGAUGGCUGUCUCCACAUCUGAUCAUUUUCAUGCAGUGUUCUUUGGAAAUGGGCUUACAGACCAGUCACCAGAAAAAUGCCUCCCAGAGAAUGCACGGGUUCACCUUCUCCCGCUAGACUUCCCCAACCAGCACAAUAAACAAAGCGGCAUAAAUAAACCAGCCUCCUUCGCGAAGUA